rnacentral:rRNA from 1 species
GGUCAAGUGAAGAAGCGCAUACGGUGGAUGCCUUGGCAGUCAGAGGCGAUGAAAGACGUGGUAGCCUGCGAAAAGCUUCGGGGAGUCGGCAAACAGACUUUGAUCCGGAGAUGUCUGAAUGGGGGAACCCAGCCAUCAUAAGAUGGUUAUCUUGUACUGAAUACAUAGGUGCAAGAGGCGAACCAGGGGAACUGAAACAUCUAAGUACCCUGAGGAAAAGAAAUCAACCGAGAUUCCCUUAGUAGUGGCGAGCGAACGGGGACUAGCCCUUAAGUGGCUUUGAGAUUAGCGGAACGUUCUGGAAAGUACGGCCAUAGUGGGUGAUAGCCCUGUACGCGAAAAUCUCUUAGUCAUGAAAUCGAGUAGGACGGAGCACGAGAAACUUUGUCUGAAUAUGGGGGGACCAUCCUCCAAGGCUAAAUACUACUGACUGACCGAUAGUGAACUAGUACCGUGAGGGAAAGGCGAAAAGAACCCCGGAGAGGGGAGUGAAAUAGAUCCUGAAACCGUAUGCGUACAAGCAGUGGGAGCCUACUUGUUAGGUGACUGCGUACCUUUUGUAUAAUGGGUCAGCGACUUAUUUUCAGUGGCGAGCUUAACCGAAUAGGGGAGGCGUAGCGAAAGCGAGUCUUAAUAGGGCGUCUAGUCGCUGGGAAUAGACCCGAAACCGGGCGAUCUAUCCAUGGGCAGGUUGAAGGUUGGGUAACACUAACUGGAGGACCGAACCGACUACCGUUGAAAAGUUAGCGGAUGACCUGUGGAUCGGAGUGAAAGGCUAAUCAAGCUCGGAGAUAGCUGGUUCUCCUCGAAAGCUAUUUAGGUAGCGCCUCAUGUAUCACUGUAGGGGGUAGAGCACUGUUUCGGCUAGGGGGUCAUCCCGACUUACCAAACCGAUGCAAACUCCGAAUACCUACAAGUGCCGAGCAUGGGAGACACACGGCGGGUGCUAACGUCCGUCGUGAAAAGGGAAACAACCCAGACCGUCAGCUAAGGUCCCAAAGUUAUGGUUAAGUGGGAAACGAUGUGGGAAGGCUUAGACAGCUAGGAGGUUGGCUUAGAAGCAGCCACCCUUUAAAGAAAGCGUAAUAGCUCACUAGUCGAGUCGGCCUGCGCGGAAGAUGUAACGGGGCUCAAACCAUACACCGAAGCUACGGGUAUCACGUAAGUGAUGCGGUAGAGGAGCGUUCUGUAAGCCUGUGAAGGUGAGUUGAGAAGCUUGCUGGAGGUAUCAGAAGUGCGAAUGCUGACAUGAGUAACGACAAUGGGUGUGAAAAACACCCACGCCGAAAGACCAAGGUUUCCUGCGCAACGUUAAUCGACGCAGGGUUAGUCGGUCCCUAAGGCGAGGCUGAAAAGCGUAGUCGAUGGAAAACAGGUUAAUAUUCCUGUACUUCUGGUUAUUGCGAUGGAGGGACGGAGAAGGCUAGGCCAGCUUGGCGUUGGUUGUCCAAGUUUAAGGUGGUAGGCUGAGAUCUUAGGUAAAUCCGGGAUCUUAAGGCCGAGAGCUGAUGACGAGCUAACUUUUAGUUAGCGAAGUGGUUGAUGCCAUGCUUCCAAGAAAAGCUUCUAAGCUUCAGGUAACCAGGAACCGUACCCCAAACCGACACAGGUGGUUGGGUAGAGAAUACCAAGGCGCUUGAGAGAACUCGGGUGAAGGAACUAGGCAAAAUGGCACCGUAACUUCGGGAGAAGGUGCGCCGGUGAGGGUGAAGGACUUGCUCCGUAAGCUCAUGCCGGUCGAAGAUACCAGGCCGCUGCGACUGUUUAUUAAAAACACAGCACUCUGCAAACACGAAAGUGGACGUAUAGGGUGUGACGCCUGCCCGGUGCCGGAAGGUUAAUUGAUGGGGUUAGCUAACGCGAAGCUCUUGAUCGAAGCCCCGGUAAACGGCGGCCGUAACUAUAACGGUCCUAAGGUAGCGAAAUUCCUUGUCGGGUAAGUUCCGACCUGCACGAAUGGCGUAACGAUGGCGGCGCUGUCUCCACCCGAGACUCAGUGAAAUUGAAAUCGCUGUGAAGAUGCAGUGUAUCCGCGGCUAGACGGAAAGACCCCGUGAACCUUUACUAUAGCUUUGCACUGGACUUUGAAUUUGCUUGUGUAGGAUAGGUGGGAGGCUUUGAAGCGUGGACGCCAGUUCGCGUGGAGCCAUCCUUGAAAUACCACCCUGGCAACUUUGAGGUUCUAACUCAGGUCCGUUAUCCGGAUCGAGGACAGUGUAUGGUGGGUAGUUUGACUGGGGCGGUCUCCUCCUAAAGAGUAACGGAGGAGUACGAAGGUGCGCUCAGACCGGUCGGAAAUCGGUCGUAGAGUAUAAAGGCAAAAGCGCGCUUGACUGCGAGACAGACACGUCGAGCAGGUACGAAAGUAGGUCUUAGUGAUCCGGUGGUUCUGUAUGGAAGGGCCAUCGCUCAACGGAUAAAAGGUACUCCGGGGAUAACAGGCUGAUACCGCCCAAGAGUUCAUAUCGACGGCGGUGUUUGGCACCUCGAUGUCGGCUCAUCACAUCCUGGGGCUGAAGCCGGUCCCAAGGGUAUGGCUGUUCGCCAUUUAAAGUGGUACGCGAGCUGGGUUUAGAACGUCGUGAGACAGUUCGGUCCCUAUCUGCCGUGGACGUUUGAGAUUUGAGAGGGGCUGCUCCUAGUACGAGAGGACCGGAGUGGACGAACCUCUGGUGUUCCGGUUGUCACGCCAGUGGCAUUGCCGGGUAGCUAUGUUCGGAAUAGAUAACCGCUGAAAGCAUCUAAGCGGGAAACUAGCCUCAAGAUGAGAUCUCACUGGAACCUUGAGUUCCCUGAAGGGCCGUCGAAGACUACGACGUUGAUAGGUUGGGUGUGUAAGCGCUGUGAGGCGUUGAGCUAACCAAUACUAAUUGCCCGUGAGGCUUGACCAU